rnacentral:rRNA from 1 species
CCUACGGGGGGCAGCAGUAGGGAAUUUUCGUCAAUGGGCGCAAGCCUGAACGAGCAAUGCCGCGUGAACGAAGAAGGUCUUCGGAUCGUAACGUUCUGUUGAAGGGGAAAAAGGGCGGAGAGAGGAAAUGCUUUCUGAUUGAUAUUACCUUUCGAGGAAGUCACGGCUAACUACGUGCCAGCAGCCGCGGUAAUACGGAGGGGGCGAGCGUUAUCCGGAAUGAUUGGGCGUAAAGGGUGCGUAGGCGGCCUGCUCAGUUUGGAGUGAAAGGCCCGGGCUCAACCGGUACAGGGCAUGGAAAAUGGCGGGCUAGGGAGCAGGAGAGGGCGGUGGAACUCCAGGUGUAGCGGUUAAAUGCGUAGAUAUAUGGAAGAAAACCAGUGGCGAAGGGGGGCGCCUUGGCUGUUAACUGACGCUGAUGCACGAAAGCGUGGGGAGCAAAUAGGAUUAGAUACCCUAGUAGUC